CUGCUGCCUCCCGUAGGAGUUUGGGCCGUGUCUCAGUCCCAAUGUGGCCGAUCAACCUCUCAGUUCGGCUACGCAUCAUUGCCUUGGUAAGCCUUUACCCCACCAACUAGCUAAUGCGCCGCGGGCCCAUCCAAAAGCGGUAGCAUAGCCACCUUUUACAUAGUUACCAUGCGGUAACUAUGGUUAUGCGGUAUUAGCACCUGUUUCCAAGUGUUAUCCCCCUCUUUUUGGGCAGGUUGCCCACGUGUUACUCACCCGUUCGCCA
rnacentral:rRNA from 1 species